rnacentral:rRNA from 1 species
CCAAUAGCGUAUAUUAAAGUUGUUGCAGUUAAAAAGCUCGUAGUUGAAUUUCGGGAUUAGUAAGUUGGUCGUGCCUCUGGUAUGUACUGGCUUUACUGGUUCCUCCUUCUUGAAGAACUGUAAUGUCAUUAAUUUGGUGUUGCAGGGAAACAGGACUGUUACUUUGAAAAAAUUAGAGUGUUUAAAGCAGGCUAACGCUUGAAUACAUUAGCAUGGAAUAAUGAAAUAGGACGUUUGAUCCUAUUUUGUUGGUUUCUAGGAUUGACGUAAUGAUUAAUAGGGAUAGUUGGGGGCAUUAGUAUUCAAUUGUCAGAGGUGAAAUUCUUGGAUUUAUUGAAGACUAACUACUGCGAAAGCAUUUGCCAAGGAUGUUUUCAUUAAUCAAGAACGAAAGUUAGGGGAUCGAAGACGAUCAGAUACCGUCGUAGUCUUAACCAUAAACUAUGCCGACUAGGGAUCGGAUGAUGUUAAUUUUUUAAUGACUCAUUCGGCGCCUUACG